rnacentral:rRNA from 1 species
CCUACGGGAGACAGCAGUAGGGAAUAUUGCUCAAUGGGGGAAACCCUGAUGCAGCGACGCCGCGUGGGUGAUGAAGGGUUUCGGAUUGUAAACUCCUUUUGUUAGAGAAGAAGAUGACGGUAUCUAACCAAGAAGCACCGGCUAACUACGUGCCAGCAGCCGCGGUAAUACGUAGGGGGCAAGCGUUACUCGGAAUCACUGGGUGUAAAGGGGGCGUAGGCGGGAUAGCAAGUCAGAUGUGAAAUCCUAGGGCUUAACCCUAGGACUGCAUUUGAAACUGUAAUUCUAGAGUAUGGGAGAGGCAGGCGGAAUUCUUGGUGUAGCGGUGAAAUGCGUAGAGAUCAAGAGGAAUACCGAUUGCGAAGGCGACCUGCUAGACCAUAACUGACGUUGAUGCGCGAAAGCGUGGGGAGCAAACAGGAUUAGAUACCCCAGUAGUC